rnacentral:rRNA from 1 species
AGAGUUUGAUCCUGGCUCAGGAUGAACGCUGGCGGCGUGCCUAAUACAUGCAAGUCGAGCGAACCACUUCGGUGGUGAGCGGCGAACGGGUGAGUAACACGUAGGUGAUCUGCCCAUCAGACGGGGACAACGAUUGGAAACGAUCGCUAAUACCGGAUAGGACGAAAGUUUAAAGGUGCUUCUGGCACCGCUGAUGGAUGAGCCUGCGGCGCAUUAGCUAGUUGGUAGGGUAAAGGCCUACCAAGGCGACGAUGCGUAGCCGACCUGAGAGGGUGAACGGCCACACUGGGACUGAGACACGGCCCAGACUCCUACGGGAGGCAGCAGUAGGGAAUCUUCGGCAAUGGGCGAAAGCCUGACCGAGCAACGCCGCGUGAAUGAUGAAGGCCUUCGGGUUGUAAAAUUCUGUUAUAAGGGAAGAACGACUUUAGUAGGAAAUGGCUAGAGUGUGACGGUACCUUAUGAGAAAGCCACGGCUAACUACGUGCCAGCAGCCGCGGUAAUACGUAGGUGGCGAGCGUUAUCCGGAAUUAUUGGGCGUAAAGAGCGCGCAGGUGGUUGAUUAAGUCUGAUGUGAAAGCCCACGGCUUAACCGUGGAGGGUCAUUGGAAACUGGUCGACUUGAGUGCAGAAGAGGGAAGUGGAAUUCCAUGUGUAGCGGUGAAAUGCGUAGAGAUAUGGAGGAACACCAGUGGCGAAGGCGGCUUCCUGGUCUGUAACUGACACUGAGGCGCGAAAGCGUGGGGAGCAAACAGGAUUAGAUACCCUGCUAGUCCACGCCGUAAACGAUGAGUGCUAAGUGUUGGGGGUCGAACCUCAGUGCUGAAGUUAACGCAUUAAGCACUCCGCCUGGGGAGUACGGUCGCAAGACUGAAACUCAAAGGAAUUGACGG